GUCACUUCCCUUCCCGCGAUGGCGGCACAGGGAGCUGCUGCGGCGGUUGCGGCGGGGACUUCAGGGGUCGCGGGGGAGGGCGAGCCCGGGCCCGGGGAGAAUGCGGCCGCUGAGGGGACCGCCCCAUCCCCGGGCCGCGUCUCUCCGCCGACCCCGGCGCGCGGCGAGCCGGAAGUCACGGUGGAGAUCGGAGAAACGUACCUGUGCCGGCGACCGGAUAGCACCUGGCGUGAGGGCGGGGCCCAGGGCUGGGGGCGGGGCGGAGCUCAGGGCCAGGGGGUGGGGCGGGGCCUGAGGACAGGCUGUCAGUGAGGCCAAGAUCCGGGGGCUGGGAGUGGAGAGGAGGAGGGGCGGGGCUUGAGGAAAGAACGCCGCGUUCCGGGCGCUGAGAAACCAGCCGGGUUGUGGGAGGCUGUUGACCUUGAAUUAUGCCGAGCGACGCCUACAAACCCACCGCUCAGGCCUUCACCAGGAUUGUUCCCAUUCCACUUCCUUGCCCAGUCUUAGGCUUCAUUCCUUUUUCUUGCUAACGCUGCUUCCUCACCCUCUCUUGUCUCUGCGUCUUCUUUUUCCAUUUGUCCCUGGCAGCCAUCCGCAGAGAGAAGACCUUCCAGAAACAACAGGCUUCCCUUUCCUAAAGUUCUGCUGCCUUCUCUCAUUUUCAAAAUUAACCCCAAACUCCUUAGGGUGGCAUUCAUUUUUGUGACCUCUCCAGUUUCUAGCCAACACUAGGAAAGGGCAUUGCCAGGCCAGAACACACUGUGCCCUCUGAAGACCACACGCCCUUUACCACCUGUGCCCUUUGCUUGGAAUGCUUUUUCUUCCCUUUCUCCUUGUUUGCCUGCCUAGCUCCUACUCAUCCUCUUAGCUUCAUAUCCUUUGUGAUGUCAUCCUUGAUUCCCCUUCAGGCAAACACUUCUUGUGAUUCAUCACUGUGUCCUCUGUACCCGGCAACAACACAGCAUAGGGCCAGACACGUAGUGGUUGCCUUACUCAUUUAUUGAAUGCUCUGCUAAUUGUCAGGUGCGCUGCUAAAAAUUUUGGAGGCAUUAAUUCACCUUCUAAGGUUGGUACUAUUAUCCCUUUUGUCUUUUUUUUUUUUUUUUUUUUUGAGACAGGAUCUCGCUCUGUCACCCAGGUGGGAUUGCCGUGGCACGAUGACAGCUCACUGAAGCCUAGACCUUCUAGGCUCAAGUGAUCCUCCCACCUCACCCUCUCAGAGUGUUGGGAUUACUGGCAUGAGCCACUGUGCCCAGCUGUUAUCCCUUUUCACAGAUGAAGAGACUGAGGCUCAGAAAGAUGGAAUAACUUGCUCAGUUACACAUAGCUAGGAAGUAGGGAGCUGGAAUUUUGUGUAUUUUUUUUUGUUUGUUUGUUUGAGAUGGAAUCGCUCUCUGUUGCCAGGCUGGAGUGCAGUGGCGCCAUCUUGGCUCACUGCGAUCUCUGCCUCCCGGAUUCAAGCGAUUCUCCUGCCUCAACCUCCUGAGUAGCUGGGACUACAGUUGUGCGCCACCACACCCAGCUAAUUUUUGUAUUUUUAGUAGAGACGAAGUUUCACCAUGUUGGCCAGGAUGGUUUUGACCUCUUAACCUCGUGAUUCACCCACCUCGGCCUCCCAAAGUGCUGGGAUUACAGGCGUGAGCCACGAUGCCCAGCCCUGGAAUUAUACAUUAAUGUAGGUUAUCUUAAUCCAGAGCCAGCACUCAUGAUCCCUGAACAAAUGAACAACUGCGGGUAUGUGGUAAAAUGAGCAUUGAAUUUAGAGUCAGACUUAAAUUCAGUUAAGUAUUAGCUCUUACCACUUUUCAAAUCUGUGACCCUAGGUAAGCCUCAGUUUUGUUCUGUUUUUUGGGGUUCUUUUUUUUGAGACAGAGUCUUGCUCUUGUCACCCAGGCCACAGUGCAGUGGUACAAUCUCGGCUCACUGCAACCUCUGCCUCCCGGGUUCAAGCAAUUCUCCUGCCUCAGCCUUGCCUCCCAGGUUCAAGCAAUUUUCCUGCCUCAGCCUCCCGAGUAGUUGGGAUUACAGGUGUGUGCCACCAUGCCUGGCUUUUUUUUUUUUCGUCUUUUUGGUACAGAUGGGGUUUUGCCAUGUUGACCAGGCUGGUCUCAAACUCCUGGCCUCAAGUGAUCUGCCCAUCUCGGCCUCCAGAAGUACUGGGAUUACAGGUGUGAGCCACACACCCAGCCAGUUAUUUUCUCAUUCGUAAAAUGAGAAUAACAGCCUCAACCUGAUCCACCUCACAGUUGUGGCAGUGAUUGAGUAGAAUGGCAGAGGUGGACCAGUGAGGUUAGCUGAUGUGUGGCCCUGAACUCUGGAAACUGCUUCUCAGUGUGCAGGAUUCCUUUUGUUCCAGCCUUACCUUCCUGAUGACCCUAGCCUUUUUCCAUCACAGAUUCUGCUGAAGUGAUCCAGUCUCGAGUGAACGACCAGGAGGGCCGAGAGGAAUUCUAUGUACACUACGUGGGCUGUGAGUGGCUUGGCACAUCUGGGCGUGGGUGCAGGGAGUUGGCUGCCCUGGCAGCACUCUUAUGGCCCAUACUUACAGUUAACCGGCGGCUGGACGAGUGGGUAGACAAGAACCGGCUGGCGCUGACCAAGACAGUGAAGGAUGCUGUACAGAAGAACUCAGAGAAGUACCUGAGCGAGCUCGCAGAGCAGCCUGAGCGCAAGAUCACUCGCAACCAAAAGCGCAAGCAUGAUGAGAUCAACCAUGUGCAGAAGGUCCGGAUCCCUUCCCAUCCACGGGCCCAGGAGGCCCAGCUUCUCUGCCAGUUCCCUUGGGUCUCUCGGGCCCCAGUGCCAAAACCAUAGCAAAUCCCAUUUCUUAAGCUCCUGUAGUGUGUCAGGGACUUUACCUACUUCCUCUUACUUACUUUUCAUAGGUAAGAAAACAGACAGAGGGUAAGGGCUUCGCUGCAGUCUCACAGCAAGGAAAUGGCACAGCUGGGACUAGAACUCAGGCCUCCGGCACUGGUAGCCUCUUUUGUCUCCUAGUAGCUGUGUCUUAGUAGAAAAAAUGACUUGAAGUUCAGUGGGAAAGACGAGAAUGUUAUUCGGCAGUUGCUAUAGCCAAGCACCCUGCCAAGUGCUGUAUAUGUAUAAGCUCCUCAAAUCCUUCCCAACAAUUCAACACACAGGAAUAGUUACUUUUUUGGUAGGUGAGGAAGCAGGCUGAGAGAGAUUAAGUAACAUGCCCAAGGUCACACAGCCAGUAAAACGGUGGGCUGGAAUUAGAAUAAUAAUGCCAAACACUUGUUAGCCGGUGAGCAGAAGUAUUCAGCUAAAUGGUUUUUGUGUGUGUGUGUGUGUGUGUGUGUGUGUGUUUUGUUUUUUGUUUUUUUUUUUGAGACGGAGUCUUGCUCUGUCGCCCAGGUUGGAGUACAGUGGAAUGAUCUCGGCUCACUGUAAACUCCGCCACCUGGGUUCAAGCAAUUUUCCUGUCUCAGCCUCCCAAGUAGCUAGGACUACAGGUACCUGCCACCACGCCCGGAUAAUUUUUGUAUUUUUAGUAGAGACGAGGUUUCGCCAUAUUGGUCAGGCUGGUCUCGAACUCCUGACCUCAGGUGAUCUGCCCACCUCGGCCUCCCAAAGUGCUGGGAUUACAGGCGUGAGCUACUGCGCCCGGCCUAAGCUAAGUGUUUUAAUACAUGACCUCACUGACAUUUCACAGUAGGCCUGUGAAGUAAGCAUGCAGAAGAGCUACAGAUAAGUUUAGGGACCCAGACAGGAAUUUGAUCAACCAGCUAAAUUGUGCUACCUCAGAGCCAGAGGCCUUAGCAAUGAUUUUGGUUUUUUUCUUAAGAGACGGGAGUCUUGGUGUGUUGCUCAGGCUGGACUUGAACUCCUGGGCUCAAAUGUUCUUCCUGCCUUAGCCUUCUAAGUAGCUGGGACUACAGGAGUGCAUCCCUGUACCUGCCUUGGUUUUUUCUUGUAUUGAUACUUAAUAAUUGUACAUAUUAUUGUUAUUUUUUUUUUUUGAGACAGCGUCUUACUCUAUCGUCUAGGCUGAGUGCAGUGGCACAAUCAUGGCUCACUUCAGCCUCAACCUCCUGGGCUCAAGCAAUCCUCCUGCCUCAGCCUCCUGAGUAGCUGGGACCAUAGGCACGUGCCACCAUGCCCAGCUAAUUUUUUAUUUUUUUGUAGAGACGGGAUCUGCUAUGUUGCCCACACUAGUCUCAAACUCCUGGUCUCAAGCGAUCCUCCUGCCUUAGCCUCCCAAAGUGCUGGGAUUACAGGUGUGAGCCACUGCGCCCGACCAAGUCUCAGUUUCUAAAUUUAUAAAAAUCAGGAGUGCACACCAGAGCAAGAUUUGUCAAAGUCUCCAGACACCCAGACAUUUGUUACUUUCAGCUAUUGCAGCUUCAUCCUUCUGAGUACAUGAGUUAGUGGGCAAGCCCAACAUUUAAAUUUCUUUAAAUGGAAGAAAGAAAGUGGAUAAGAUAGAAAAAUCAGGGUGUUGCACUUUAUUAAGUGUAGGUAUUGUUUUGAGAAGCUUUUAUUUCACACCCAAUAAAAGUGUGCAGGAU
rnacentral:lncRNA from 1 species